CUUACCUACUGGAAAAGAUCAUCUGCUGGAGGCAGCAGGGUCUCUGGCUCUGGAAGGACUGCUCUGCAAGGGUUCUCUGGGGGGCCUCUGUGGCCACGGGAGUCUUGUUGGCAUCAACAAUGUUCUGAAGAGCACUUCUUUCGGGAAACUCAACAGCUGGAUUUGGAAAUGGGAUUUAGAAUGGAAAUCUAGGUCAAGGAUACGAAGGCCCAGGAUAGAAGAAAAGCCAUGUUGAAGUUUGAGUAAUAAGUCGAGAAGACUGGGAAGUUCUGCUUUUCCACUUCACCUUGCUCUUCCCAUUCUUCAGGCUCAAAAUCAUCAACUUUGAUAUCAUCCAGGUGGCGUGGAAGAAGGUCUAUCCUUUAUCCAACCUCCAACUAGAAUUUCAGACCAGGUUGACUAUCAAACUCCCAGGCAGAAAGAGUCUUUCACCAUUGCCACCAUAGCUGAGAGUGUACUGGGUCUCAC
rnacentral:lncRNA from 1 species